GACAGCACAAGCAGGGGAGGGGCAGAGAGAGAGGGAGGGAGAGAGAGAAGCCCAAGCAGGCUCCUCCCUGUCAUCGUAGAGCUGGAUACGGGGCGAGGACCCACAGACCGUGAGAUCGUGACCCGAGCCGAGGUCGGACGCCCAACCGACUGAGUCACCCAGGCAUCCCUAUAACACGGCGGUAUUAAUUUUAGUCACCAGGCUGUGCCUUAGAUCCCGGGACUUACUCAUUUCAGCCCUGCAAGUGUGAGCUGCCUCCCCACCCCAGCCCGUGCUGCUGGCAACCACACUCUAGUCUAGGGCUGGGUGUUCCGCUUUUAGUCUUGCUUUUUUUUAAAAUUUUUAUUUAAAUUCCGGUUGGUUAACACACAGUGUAUUGUUGGUUUCAGGUGUACAAUGUGGAGAUUCAACGUUUCCUUACGUGGCCCCGGUGCUGAUCACGGGUGAGUGUAACAGGUGUGGAUCCACACGUAAGUGAGCGCAUUGAGUCUGUCUUUCUCUCUGUCGCACUUAGUUCGCCUAACACAUGGCCCUCGACGUCCGUCCGCGUGGUCAUGAAACGGCCACCUCCUUCUUUUUGUGGCUGACUAGGACUCCCUGUGGUGUGUAUGCCCCGUGAUCUGCCCAUCCCGCUCUGGACCCUGGGGUGCGUGCGCGUCUUGGCCGCUGCGACUAUGCCGCCGUGAAUGUGGGGAGGGGGCAGAGUCUCCGAAAUCUGGAUUCCAGUGCCCUCAGGGGAAAAAACCCCACUUCGAGCAUGUAAUAGAAUUUCACUGGCACCCUGGCCUGAUCUGUCUGUUACCCAGUGACAGCAAACAGCCCCGGGAGGAGCCCUCCCACCCACUGGCUGGACUCCAGAUUCUUGCUGUCUGGGGGGCACGGAUAUCACUGACCGAACCAGCACAAAAAGGUGGCGUUGCCAAG